rnacentral:rRNA from 1 species
UGGGGAAUAUUGCACAAUGGGCGCAAGCCUGAUGCAGCCAUGCCGCGUGUAUGAAGAAGGCCUUCGGGUUGUAAAGUACUUUCAGUCGGUAGGAAGGUGGUAAGGUUAAUAACCUUAUCAAUUGACGUUACCGACAGAAGAAGCACCGGCUAACUCCGUGCCAGCAGCCGCGGUAAUACGGAGGGUGCAAGCGUUAAUCGGAAUUACUGGGCGUAAAGCGCACGCAGGCGGUUGAUUGAGUCAGAUGUGAAAUCCCCGGGCUUAACCCGGGAAUUGCAUCUGAUACUGGUCAGCUAGAGUCUUGUAGAGGGGGGUAGAAUUCCAUGUGUAGCGGUGAAAUGCGUAGAGAUGUGGAGGAAUACCGGUGGCGAAGGCGGCCCCCUGGACAAAGACUGACGCUCAGGUGCGAAAGCGUGGGGAGCAAACAGG